GACGAACGCUGGCGGCGUGCUUAACACAUGCAAGUCGAACGGUGAAAGGGAGCUUGCUCCCUGGAUCAGUGGCGAACGGGUGAGUAACACGUGGGCAACCUGCCCCAGACUUCGGGAUAACGCUUCGAAAGAGGUGCUAAUACCGGAUACGAACUCCUUGGGCAUCCUUGGAGUUGGAAAGUUUUUCGGUCUGGGAUGGGCCCGCGGCCUAUCAGCUUGUUGGUGAGGUAACGGCUCGUCAAGGCGACGACGGGUAGCCGGCCUGAGGGGGGGACGGGCCAAACUGGGACUGAGACACGGCCCAGACUCCUACGGGAGGCAGCAGUGGGGGAGAUUGCGCAAUGGGCGAAAGCCUGACGCAGCAACGCCGCGUGAGGGAUGACGGCCUUCGGGUUGUAAAGCACUUUCAGCGAGGAGGAAGGGUGGUGUGUUAAUAGCACAUCAUUUUGACGUUACUCGCAGAAGAAGCACCGGCUAAC
rnacentral:rRNA from 1 species